rnacentral:rRNA from 1 species
AUUGAACGCUGGCGGCAUGCCUUACACAUGCAAGUCGAACGGCAGCACGGGAGCAAUCCUGGUGGCGAGUGGCGAACGGGUGAGUAAUAUAUCGGAACGUGCCCAGUCGUGGGGAUAACGUAGCGAAAGCUACGCUAAUACCGCAUACGAUCUAUGGAUGAAAGCGGGGGAUCGCAAGACCUCGCGCGAUUGGAGCGGCCGAUAUCAGAUUAGGUAGUUGGUGAGGUAAAGGCUCACCAAGCCGACGAUCUGUAGCUGGUCUGAGAGGACGACCAGCCACACUGGGACUGAGACACGGCCCAGACUCCUACGGGAGGCAGCAGUGGGGAAUUUUUGGACAAUGGGCGCAAGCCUGAUCCAGCAAUGCCGCGUGAGUGAAGAAGGCCU